AACGCACGAGACCUGCGGACCUGCGGAGGGAUCAUUAAAGAGUUGCAAGACUCCCAAACCAUUGUGAACGUUACCCACACCGUUGCUUCGGCGGGCGGCCCGGGCCCUGCCCGGCGCCCCCCGGCCCCUCGCGGGCGCCCGCCGGAGGUAAACCAAACUCUUGAAUUGUAUGGCCUCUCUGAGUCUUCUGUACUGAAUAAGUCAAAACUUUCAACAAUGGAUCUCUAGAUCGGAAGAGCA
rnacentral:misc_RNA from 1 species